rnacentral:rRNA from 1 species
GACGAACGCUGGCGGCGUGCUUAACACAUGCAAGUCGAACGGAAAGGCCCUGCUUUUGUGGGGUGCUCGAGUGGCGAACGGGUGAGUAACACGUGAGUAACCUGCCCUUGACUUUGGGAUAACUUCAGGAAACUGGGGCUAAUACCGGAUAGGAGCUCCUGCUGCAUGGUGGGCGUUGGAAAGUUUCGGCGGUUGGGGAUGGACUCGCGGCUUAUCAGCUUGUUGGUGGGGUAGUGGCUUACCAAGGCUUUGACGGGUAGCCGGCCUGGGAGGGUGACCGGCCACAUUGGGACUGAGAUACGGCCCAGACUCCUACGGGAGGCAGCAGUGGGGAAUAUUGCACAAUGGGCGGAAGCCUGAUGCAGCAACGCCGCGUGCGGGAUGACGGCCUUCGGGUUGUAAACCGCUUUCGCCUGUGACGAAGCGUGAGUGACGGUAAUGGGUAAAGAAGCACCGGCUAACUACGUG